CAGGAUGGAGAAUUAGAAAUAUUUUUGCCAAGAGAUAAAAUAUACCUUCUUCUGCUAUACAGAUCCGAAGUGGUUCAAAUUCUCCUGGGGUGAGAGAGUACAAUCCACAACCUUUAAGAAGAGCUCCUAAACCCUUUAUCGUCCAAAAGCCUGGUUUAACAGAACCGAAAAAAUCCCCACAAAAGUCUUCAAGUCUUACAAAUCAAGCAUCACAACCCCACUCAAAGCUAAAAACUCUUCAAUAACAACAAAGUUCACCAAAUGUCGGUCAAAAGACAUUUCAGGACUCCGGAAAAGGCAUUGAUACAAAUUCUCCACCAUUUCCAAGAAAGCUUCCAAAAUGGCCGCCGAUCAAAGACGACAUUUCAGAAGACACGCGGAAAUAUCGCAGUGUCCCAUCUAACUCAUCAACUACUUCGAACAUUUUAAAAACUCACUUCAACGAGAGGAACAGCUCUGUGGCUAAAGAAACUCUAAAAAUGAAGACGACAAAUAGUAUUUAUGAUCUUACACCUUGCAGGCCCGCCCUCCGCCCUCCUUUAUGAAAUAUUGUUUUAAGAAAUAAAAUAAAAAACA